UGCAUCUUUUGUGGUGGACAUCAUACUGGCAGAACCCAUUUUAUAUAGUGGCUAAAAGAAGCAAUAUAUUUUUUUUUCAGAAAGCGCAUAUAACGCCUCCACGAGGACCCUGGUGGCUGGCGAUUUUUUCUUAGGGAAUCCGGUUCCUCGAGUAUGCGGGAAAGAUUAAAUAUCCCGCCUAGAGCUCGUCCACUAGGAAAUAAAAAUGACAUUCAAGGCGAGAACACGGUUACUACGAAGGGAAAACCAGGAGCGGAAACGCGGAGGCAAGCUCCCUAGAGUUCAGCAAGGAAGAUCCUCGCGUCGACGAUCCGUGGGACAUCUGAACACACAAGGAAGGAAACCUCGUGAGAUCCAUUACUAACGGAACCGGGAAAGCCUCACACCUCCUAACAGAGAAGCUUGCAGCACCUCUCUCAACCGCACUAAUCUGCAUCUGCGGGUGCCAUCUCUCAAACACCACUGAUGCGACGGCCAGACUGCAAAACGUCGGGAUGCGGUGUAAAGACCUUGUCAGCUUCGACGUCAAAUUGCUCCUUGCCAAUGUACCGAUCGACGGGGUUAUCGAAGCUGCAACAUUGGCGCUAGCAGGAAUGGACGAAGUUGAACUACCACUCGUCCGCUGCUUCGUGGAGUUCGGCCUGUUCGAAUUCCGGGGACGUGAAGACCCUUAUCGAAGCUGCAACAUUGGCGCUAGCAGGAAUGGACGAAGUUGAACUACCACUCGUCCGCUGCCUGUUCGAAUUCCGGGGACGUGAAUACGGGCCGGCUCUCAGCAUAUAAACUAUUUUCAGCAUAUGGUGUCAACCAAUAGAACUCGAAUACAAAGGGGACACAAACAAAAAAACUACAACAACCAGUGUAAAUAAACAUUUCCCAUAUAAACAAACCCUGAUGUUCAUAGCUCAGCAAAAAUAUCAAUAUGACAGGCAUGCUUAUAAAUUUAUACAGGGAAAUUCUCCUCAUUGGUCACAGGAAUAAUAAAGAAUUAAAGGAGCAUUAUCUAAGUUGUCAAUGACAUCAGGCAUUCAAACACCGAGUCUAAUAAUAUACCUCAGUUUCUUAUGAUAAGAAAUAUAUAUAUAUUCUACCCACGGUAUCUGAUGUGUUGGUUUCCGAUACUGUUCCUUACAAUGCUAUUCUUUAUGUCGAUUUAUGAAGAUUACAACUAAUGAA